CUUUCCUCCACAUGAACCAUGAUCAGAUACUUAAGGUUAAAGGCUCAAGAAGCCCUACCAGUGAGGAUUCUACCUUCAGUGAUCAACUAAUCUAUCUUCUAACAUGGUUGCUAGGUGACUUGGUCAGGUUUUGUUUAAGCAUCUGCAGGAGAAGCUCAUCAUUACUGAGGCAAAGUUAAAGGAGUCUCAGUAUCAAUUAGCCCCAUGGCGUUUAGAUGUAGUGAAUAACUCUAGUUCUGCACCUGAGUCUCUAUCUCAUUCCUUUGGUGCUGCACUGAAUACUUCAGUAUGAUCACUUCUUGUUUCUUUUUCCCUUCUUGGAGGAUAGUUUCCUUAAAUUUGUGUGUUGAUUUCUCAUAACAGAAGUUUUAAAAUUGUGCCUCAGCCAACAUAUGCCCAUGCACAUACACCAAUUUCUUCUCCUUUCAAUGCUCUGACAACAAAAAGUUGACUGGGAAGUAUUAGGACACCAUAAUCAUCACAUUGUGGUGUUGUUACAAAAAAUCUAGACCAUGAGAACUUGGGAAGGUCUUCUCCUUCUGUAAGCAGGUGAGAUUUGUCAAAUUAAGGAGAACGCUCUCAGGGAAAAGUCAGAGAAGCCAUUUUUUCUUUGUUGAUGGUUUCUGUUUUCUUUGCUCUCAGCAAAAAGUUAGAGUGACGCCAAUCUCAUGAUUCUUUAAAUGUGUGUUUGGA